AUUGAACGCUGGCGGCAGGCCUAACACAUGCCAGUCGAGCGGAUGAAGGGAGCUUGCUCCUGGAUUCAGCGGCGGACGGGUGAGUAAUGCCUAGGAAUCUGCCUGGUAGUGGGGGAUAACGUCCGGAAACGGGCGCUAAUACCGCAUACGUCCUGAGGGAGAAAGUGGGGGAUCUUCGGACCUCACGCUAUCAGAUGAGCCUAGGUCGGAUUAGCUAGUUGGUGGGGUAAAGGCCUACCAAGGCGACGAUCCGUAACUGGUCUGAGAGGAUGAUCAGUCACACUGGAACUGAGACACGGUCCAGACUCCUACGGGAGGCAGCAGUGGGGAAUAUUGGACAAUGGGCGAAAGCCUGAUCCAGCCAUGACGCGUGUGUGAAGAAGGUCUUCGGAUUGUAAAGCACUUUAAGUUGGGAGGAAGGGCAGUAAGUUAAUACCUUGCUGUUUUGACGUUACCAACAGAAUAAGCACCGGCUAACUUCGUG
rnacentral:rRNA from 1 species